UCCCGUGUAACUCAGUUGGUAGAGUGCCUUAAGUGGCUGGUCGUAGGUUCGAAUCCUACCAUGGGAG
rnacentral:tRNA from 1 species